CUUGGGUGCUACCCAACCGCAUUUGCAGCUACGAGUUUAUUUUCUUCGCCGCUAAUUCCACUUAUGUCCCAGGAAACUCAUACACUGUCAACAGUCUCGUGAGCAGAACGUGUUAGUAGAGCCAUGUUUUGAAGUUUUCUGGAAGCUUUGAUCUUUCAGCCCUCCUCAGCCACUCUUCUGUCUGUUUGUCAGUAUAGACGACAUUGCUUCUCUCAGUAAGUGAAUUAUCAAACUACUUUGCAAGGCAUUUCAUAGGAUUUUCCUCUAUCAACGGAAUGGCUUCUCCGUGUCGUGUGUCAUUUUAACAUGUCUCGUCUGUGCAUUUGUAGGAAACUUUCGACUUUUCAGUCGCUGAUCUAGGCUACUCUUCUGCAAUUUGUUUAUUCCAGUUCUGUUCCUCCAGUCUAUAGAAACAAUCCUGUAUUAUACCUGUUUUUCUUUUAUUUAUUUUAGUCAUUUCACUGUGGACAAGCUGGGGCACCGCCUUCAACGGAAAAGACUUAUAGUAGAAGAGUCUCACCCAAGGUGCCAUGCAGUGUGACUAAACCCAAGACCACAUAGUUGAGGAUUAUCUUAACCACACAGCCAAACCUGUGCCUGGUACUUAAUUUAUCGUCCCCGAAAGAAUGAAUGGCAAACUCGACCUCGGCAGCAUUUGAACUCAGAACGCAA
rnacentral:lncRNA from 1 species